rnacentral:rRNA from 1 species
GAUGAACGCUGGCGGCGUGCCUAAUACAUGCAAGUCGAGCGAACAGAUGAGGAGCUUGCUCCUCUGACGUUAGCGGCGGACGGGUGAGUAGCACGUGGAUAACCUACCUAUCAGACUGGGCUAACUUAGGGAAACCGGAGCUAAUACCGGAUAAUAUAUUCAACCUCAUUGUUCAAUAGUGAAAGACGGUUUUGCUGUCACUUGUAGAUGGAUCCGCGCCGGAUUAGCUAGUUGGUAAGGUAACGGCUUACCAAGGCAACGAUGCGGAGCCGACCUGAGAGGGGGAACGGCCACACCGGAAAUGAGACACGGUCAAGACGCCUACGGGAGGCAGCAGUAGGGAAUCCUCCGCAAAGGGGGAAAGCAUGACGGAGCAACGCCGCGUGAGUGAUGAAGGUCUUCGGAUCGUAAAACUCUGUUAUUAGGGAAGAACAAAUGUGUAAGUAACUAUGCACGUCUUGACGGUACCUAAUCAGAAAGCCACGGCUAACUACGUG